rfam:Myotis lucifugus cont2.40852, whole genome shotgun sequence.
CUCGGGGGGGGGGUUCCUCAGCUCAGAUUGUGAGAGGGUGCAGGCCAUGCUGAGGGACCCCACCGGUGCACG